rnacentral:tRNA from 1 species
CCGUAACUCAAUUGAUUAGAGCGUUGGUCUUAUGAGCCGAAGGUUGUGGGUUCGAGUCCUUUUGG